GGUUGUUAUAAAAAGCCUAGAUUCACUCUGAAUCAAAAUUUUCGGAGUUGUGCGAUUUUUACGGUGAAGGUCGAUCGGAGUUUACCUGAAACAGAGAGACGGAGAUGCUCGCAGCUGAGAAGAAUUUGAAAACCGAGUUGAUUGAAGGUUGUAAACUUUAUAUCUAGGGUUUACCCUCUUUCCAAAUCAGACACUCGAAUCCGAGGUUUGAAUCUGCAAAACCGAAGCUUGAUUUAAGAAAGCAGUUGGGAACUUAACCGGCGAAGAGAGAGAGAGAGAGACCUACAGUUUCUUUUGCUCUUUGUGUUUUCCAUUUUUUCCUCUCUGGUAAAUGCUGAUACAUUUGGGGAAGAUCAUCGAGAUCACUUCUUUACUGAGCUCAGAAUUAUGAUUGAUAAAAGGAGUAGCGAUCAUGGCACUCGUGAGGUCAACCAAAAGGCUUAUAGUUGAUGAUCCCAUCACUGUUUGAUCAAGGUGUGUUUUCAGUCUACGGAUUUGCUGGUUUCAGUCUAGGGGUUUGAUGAUCCCAUCACUGUUUGAACAAUACUAUUUCUGAUUUUUUUCUUAGUGUGUGGGGUUGGGGGAGGCU